rnacentral:rRNA from 1 species
GACGAACGCUGGCGGCGUGGAUUAGGCAUGCAAGUCGAACGGUAUCAUCCUUUCGGGGGUGAGAGAGUGGCGAACUGGUGAGUAACACGUAGGUUAUCUACCCUCAAGACGGGGACAACCCAGGGAAACUUGGGCUAAUACCGGAUGUGAGCAACUUUUAGUUGUUUGAAAGGUGGCGUAAGCUGUCGCUUGGGGAUGAGCCUGCGUCCUAUUAGUUAGUUGGUGAGGUAACGGCUCACCUAGGCAAUGAUAGGUAGGCGGCCUUAACGGGUGGUCGCCCACACUGGGAUUGAGAUACGGCCCAGACUCCUACGGGAGGCAGCAGUCCGAGAAUAGUCUACAAUGGUCGGAAGACUGAUAGUGCGACGCCGCGUGAACGAUGAAUCCCUUCGGGUGUAAAGUUCUUUUAUAUGUGAGCAGUGCUUCUUAUAUUAACAGUAUGGGGAGAGAGAUAUUAGCAUAUGAAUAAGCAACGGCUAACUCCGUGCCAGCAGCCGCGGUAAUA